UGCCGUGGGGCCCUGCCUGCCUGCCGGGCUUGUGGGUCACGCCAGGGACGGCCUCAGCGCCCCCAGCUGUGCCAGUAAAGCCCACAGCAGCCAAGGCUGAGCCAGGAGCACUGCUCCUGCAGAGGACAAUUCCUCUGCCCUGGUUGAGCCUUCCCAGCCCGAGCUGGUGCAGGCAGAGCUGGCUGCCCACGCCUCGGCUGCUGGUGAAUGCCAGGGUGGAACUGGUGGAUUCUCACACAGCAUCUCCCAGCAGUGCAGUGAGGGGAGGUGGUGAGGAUGCAGCUUUGGUAGGACUUGUGGGGCCAUGCACCUAAAACUGCCAACCCUGCCCUGGGCUGAUCCCCAGCAGGGUGGGCACAGGGGCAGGGAGGGGAUUCUGCCCCUCUGCUGUGCCUGCUGAGACCCCCCUGCAGUGCUGGGGCAGCUCUGGAGCCCUCAGCACAGCACAGACAGGGACCUGCUGCAGCAGGGCCAGAGGAGGCCACGGCAGGGCUGGCAGGGCUCUGCUGGCAGCCCAGGCUGGCAGAGGUGGCCUCGGGCAGCCUGCAGCAGGGAAGGCUCCAGGGACACAUUCAUAGAAUCAUUGGGUUGCAGAAGUCCUUUAAGAUCACUGAGUCCAACCCUUCUCUGACUCCACCAAGGCUGAGGCUGAACCAGGGCCCUCAGCGCCACAUCUCUGCCUCUUACAGACACCUCCCUCAGCAGCCUGGGCCAGGCCUUGGCAACCCUUUCAGUGAAGAGGUUGUUCCUCAUGGCCACCCUGAACCUACCCUGGGGCAACUUGAGGCCUUUUCUCUUGUCCUCUCUCUUGUUGCCAGGGAGAAGAGCCCAACCCCAGCUGGCUCCAGCCUUCUCUUAGGAAGCUGUAGAGAGCAAUGAGGUCUCCCCUCAGCCUCUGCCAUGCUUCUUUAAUCUGCUUUCCUAUGCCAGUGGCUGGCACUAAAUCAACAUCUGAGUGCCUGCUGCCUCACAACUGCUGAUUAGGAGCUCAGGGGGAGCAUGCCAAGCUCUGGCUGCUGCUGCUGCUCCAUGUGGUUCUGGCUCAGUUUCGUCCUUACCCAGAUGGUAAAAAUGUGCCUGGAGCCAGAGCCCUGACAGUGCCCUGACAGGCAGCCAACCUGGAGUCAUGGAACUGUUGGCUUGGAAAAGAGCUGGAAGAUCAUCGAGUCCAUCCAUCAUCUAACUCUGCCAAGACUGGGGCUGAGCCAGCUCCCCCAGCAGCACAUCUCCAGGGAUGGAGACUCCUCCACUGCCCUGGGCAGCCAGGCCCAGGCCUUGGCAACACUUUGGAGGAAGAAAUUGUUCCUCAUGGCCAAUGUAAACCUCCUUGGGGCAACCUGA